rnacentral:tRNA from 1 species
GAAGGUAUAGCUCGGUGGUAGAGUGCAUGCCUAGCAUGCAGAAGGUCCUGGGUUCAAUCCCUAGUACCUCCA